AUCUGGACGGCGAAAUUCAGAAUGGCUGGCGGGCUUCGUGUCUGUCUGGCCGUUUGAUAUUUUCGUCGUCGUUUCAGACGUCGCGACCUGUUUGUCGUCGGUCCUUGCUCGGAGGAAUCGCGAUCGAGUUCACUGUGGGUGCGUUUCGGCGCAUCAUAUGGUGAAGACGUGAAUCUCUGACUGACGAUAGACAGUAAGCAAUGGUGAUCGAUGUUGUGUCUCGUACGCGGCGUCGACACCGGUCAGUGACGAUUUCUUCGGGCCUCUUUCCGACCCGUCUUGAAACACGGACCAAGGAGUCUAACAUACGCGCGAGUCGCGGGGUAUCGAGCGUACUACGGUGCGCUCGGCACAUCUGAAACCCGCAUAUUGAAGGCGUAAUGAAAGUGAACAGGGAAGAUGGUGUUCCGAGUAAACGUACCGUGAUUCAUCACGGCCGGACGCCCGCAUUCCCGGGGCGUCUCGAAUGUUCGUCGCGGAUGCGGCUGGUCAUCUUUCGGGGUGAUUGGCGGUCUGCGACGGACUGA
rnacentral:rRNA from 1 species